rnacentral:rRNA from 1 species
GACGACAAGACCCUAAAAGCUUUAUUUUAAUUUUUUAAACUUAAAUAAAUUUAGUUUUAGAUAAAAAUUUUACUGGGGUAGUACUAAAAUUAACUUUUUAAAUCUAUUCUUAUUUGGUUAAAGAUUCUUUAAUAUUAGGAUUUUGGAUAAGUUACUUUAGGGAUAACAGCGUGAUAAUACUGAAAAGAACAUACUUAUAGUAUUGAUUACGACCUCGAUGUUGAAUUAAUAAAUCUUUUUAAAGCAGAUUUUAAAGAAGAAGGUUGGUUCAACCUUUAAUUUAUUACAUGAUCUGAGU